GACGGUGCAUAUAUUUUCUACUCUAUCUCAAAGAGACACCUUUUUAGUCUACUGCCUUUUUACCAAGAACAAAGCGAAAGAUAAGGGCACGGAAGAUAUGCCUGAGUGCAUCAAACAACUCUUGGAGGAGAACAAAGGCAGCAUACCAGAUGAGUUGCCUAUCCGUCUACCACCGAGGCGGUAGAUAGACCAUCAAAAUGAGUUGGAAAGAAAACUGUCCUCUUGGGUAAUCAAUUUCAUGAUUGAGAAUGUUGAUGACCUCUCAAUUAUUCCUUAUCUGUAUGCUAGCAGGAGUUCACUAACUAAGGGGGAGCAGCCAAAGUGGACUGACUCAAGAAGAGCUACCAAAAGAAGAGACUAGCUCUCUUGUGCUAACUCAGAGGGAGCAGCCAAAGUCAACUGACUCAAGAAGAGCUACCAAAGUCGACAAGUCGACUAUAUCAAGAAGAUCUACCAAAGUCGACUACUCUUGAGUAACUAAUUCAAGGGGAGUAACCAAAUUUGACUGCACUUCAGAGAAGUUGACAGGAGUUCUAAAACAGGGAAGUUGAAUUGCUUCUAUGCUAUUCUUAUGUUAUUUUGUCAUAAAAAAAAAGGGGGAAGAUUAUUAUAUCUUUGUUUCAAUGAUAAAAAAUAACAUUAUCUUGUAGGAAUCCAAAAUAAAAAGAAGAUUCAACGCAAGAAAGCAAGGCGGAAAGAAGGAAACGGAUAGCAUCAAUCAAGUGAAGAAGGAAAAGGGAAGCAUCAGUUAAGUGAAGGGAGACCAAAUUCGUGCAGAUUUUUACGGGAUAAGAAGAUCUUCAAUCAGCAGUCAAUCAGCAAAAUCAUCUCCAGAAGAAAAGAAACAAGACUUUAUCAAGAAGUCAAUCAAAUCUGAAGAUCCGCAUGAAUACCAAUCACAUGCUUGAUUGGAAAGCAAUCAAUCUUCACGCGUGUAUCAAGGGUCAGUUGGUAUUAAGCUCCAUCCUUAUUCUUGGAAGGAAUCAUUCGAGAUUCACUCCAAGGAUCAAUUCUUUUGAGUUGCCAAUAUCUCAUCAAUCAAGUCCAUUGUCACAAUCUAUAGUCGAAGAUCCGGAAGGAGAAUAUAUACUUUUGUAUGACCAACUUCGAGCUCUUUGUUAUACUCUAAACAAGUAUUGUAAUGUCGAUUUGAUUUACUGUGUAAUUACUGGAGAGAAGAAAGAGAGAAAAAUAGUGGUGAGAUAUUGUAUCAAAAAAAUUGAGAAUUUACUUAGUUUAAGAAAGCACUUGGUGUGUUCUUAACUCAUAUACACAAGUGUACAAAGAAUUUCAAGGAGUUUCGAGAACUCUCUUUCAACCCAAGGGGACUGGAUUAGGAUUUACAUUGAAUCUGAACCAAUAUAAAAAUA